GCAAGUCGCACGAAAAAGAGGGAAAGAGCUUGCUCUUUCCGGAAUUGAGUGGCAAACGGGUGAGUAACACGUAAACAACCUGGCUCCAGGAUGGGGACAACAGACGGAAACGACUGCUAAUACCGAAUAAGUUCCCAAGAGCCGCAUGGCCCAUGGAAGAACAGGUGGCCUCUACCUGUAAGCUAUCGCCUGAAGAGGGGUUUGCGUCUGAUUAGCAGGUUGGAGGGGUAACGGCCCACCAAGGCGACGAUCAGUAGCCGGUCUGAGAGGAUGAACGGCCACACUGGAACUGAGACACGGUCCAGACUCCUACGGGAGGCAGCAGUGGGGAAUCUUCCGCAAUGGGCGAAAGCCUGACGGAGCAACGCCGCGUGAGUGAUGACGGCCUUCGGGUUGUAAAACUCUGUGAUCCGGGACGAAAAGGCAGAGUGCGAAGAACAAACUGCAUUGACGGUACCGGAAAAGCAAGCCACGGCUAACUACGUGCCAGCAGCCGCGGUAAUACGUAGGUGGCAAGCGUUGUCCGGAAUUAUUGGGCGUAAAGCGCGCGCAGGCGGCUUCCCAAGUCCCUCUUAAAAGUGCGGGGCUUAACCCCGUGAUGGGAAGGAAACUGGGAAGCUGGAGUAUCGGAGAGGAAAGUGGAAUUCCUAGCGUAGCGGUGAAAUGCGUAGAGAUUAGGAAGAA
rnacentral:rRNA from 1 species